UACGUAGGUGGCAAGCGUUGUCCGGAUUUACUGGGCGUAAAGGGCGUGCAGGCGGUUUGUUAAGUGCAGGGUGAAAGCUCCCGGCUCAACUGGGAGAGGUCCUUGCAUACUGGCAAACUCGAGGGAGGCAGAGGAAAGUGGAAUUUCCGGUGUAGUGGUGAUAUGCGUAGAUAUCGGGAGGAGCACCUGUGGCGAAGGCGGCUUUCUGGGCCUUACCUGACGCUGAGACGCGAAAGCGUGGGGAGCGAACAGG
rnacentral:rRNA from 1 species